rnacentral:rRNA from 1 species
GUUUGUCGCGUCUGCUGUGAAAACCAGAAGCUCAACUUCUGGCCUGCAGUGGGUACGGGCAAACUAGAGUGCGGUAGGGGAGAACGGAAUUCCUGGUGUAGCGGUGGAAUGCGCAGAUAUCAGGAGGAACACCGAUGGCGAAGGCAGUUCUCUGGGCCGUUACUGACGCUGAGGAGCGAAAGCGUGGGGAGCGAACAGGAUUAGAUACCCUGGUAGUCCACGCCGUAAACGGUGGGUGCUAGCUGUGGGCCACAUUCCACGUGGUCCGUGACGAAGUUAACACAUUAAGCACCCCGCCUGGGGAGUACGGCCGCAAGGCUAAAACUCAAAGGAAUUGACGGGGGCCCGCACAAGCGGCGGAGCAUGCGGAUUAAUUCGAUGCAACGCGAAGAACCUUACCAAGGCUUGACAUAUAGAGGAAAAGUACAGAAAUGUACUCCCCGUAAGGUCUCUAUACAGGUGGUGCAUGGUUGUCGUCAGCUCGUGUCGUGAGAUGUUGGGUUAAGUCCCGCAACGAGCGCAACCCUCGUCCUAUGUUGCCAGCACGUUAUGGUGGGAACUCAUGGGAUACUGCCGGGGUCAACUCGGAGGAAGGUGGGGAUGACGUCAAAUCAUCAUGCCCCUUAUGUCUUGGGCUUCACGCAUGCUACAAUGGCCGGUACAGAGGGCUGCAAUACCGUAAGGUGGAGCGAAUCCCAAAAAGCCGGUCUCAGUUCGGGAUUGAGGUCUGCAACUCGACCUCAUGAAGUCGGAGUCGCUAGUAAUCGUAGAUCAGCAACGCUACGGUGAAUACGUUCCCGGGCCUUGUACACACCGCCCGUCAAGUCACGAAAGUCGGUAACACCCGAAGCCGGUGGCCCAACCUUUUUGGAGGGAGCCGUCUAAGUGGGACUGGGUAAUUGGGACUAAGUCGUAACAAGGUAGCCGUA